GCUGAAGGAGGAGCUUGCUCUUCUGGAUGAGUUGCGAACGGGUGAGUAACGCGUAGGUAACCUGCCUGGUAGCGGGGGAUAACUAUUGGAAACGAUAGCUAAUACCGCAUAACAGUAGAUGUUGCAUGACAUUUGCUUAAAAGGUGCAAUUGCAUCACUACCAGAUGGACCUGCGUUGUAUUAGCUAGUUGGUGGGGUAACGGCUCACCAAGGCGACGAUACAUAGCCGACCUGAGAGGGUGAUCGGCCACACUGGGACUGAGACACGGCCCAGACUCCUACGGGAGGCAGCAGUAGGGAAUCUUCGGCAAUGGACGGAAGUCUGACCGAGCAACGCCGCGUGAGUGAAGAAGGUUUUCGGAUCGUAAAGCUCUGUUGUAAGAGAAGAACGAGUGUGAGAGUGGAAAGUUCACACUGUGACGGUAUCUUACCAGAAAGGGACGGCUAACUACGUGCCAGCAGCCGCGGUAAUACGUAGGUCCCGAGCGUUGUCCGGAUUUAUUGGGCGUAAAGCGAGCGCAGGCGGUUAGAUAAGUCUGAAGUUAAAGGCUGUGGCUUAACCAUAGUACGCUUUGGAAACUGUUUAACUUGAGUGCAAGAGGGGAGAGUGGAAUUCCAUGUGUAGC
rnacentral:rRNA from 1 species